GAUGAACGCUGGCGGCGUGCUUAACACAUGCAAGUCGAACGAUGAAGUCCAGCUUGCUGGGUGGAUUAGUGGCGAACGGGUGAGUAACACGUGAGUAACCUGCCCUUGACUCUGGGAUAAGCCUGGGAAACUGGGUCUAAUACUGGAUAUGACUUCUCAUCGCAUGGUGGGGGGUGGAAAGAUUUAUUGGUCUUGGAUGGACUCGCGGCCUAUCAGCUUGUUGGUGAGGUAAUGGCUCACCAAGGCGACGACGGGUAGCCGGCCUGAGAGGGUGACCGGCCACACUGGGACUGAGACACGGCCCAGACUCCUACGGGAGGCAGCAGCGGGGAAUAUUGCACAAUGGGCGCAAGCCUGAUGCAGCGACGCCGCGUGAGGGAUGACGGCCUUCGGGUUGUAAACCUCUUUCAGUAGGGAAGAAGCGAGAGUGACGGUACCUGCAGAAGAAGCGCCGGCUAACUACGUG
rnacentral:rRNA from 1 species